rnacentral:rRNA from 1 species
GACGUAGGGCGCGAGCGUUGUCCGGAUUUAUUGGGCGUAAAGAGCUCGUAGGCGGCUUGUCGCGUCGACUGUGAAAUCCCGCGGCUCAACCGCGGGCUUGCAGCCGAUACGGGCAGGCUAGAGUGUGGUAGGGGAGACUGGAAUUCCUGGUGUAGCGGUGAAAUGCGCAGAUAUCAGGAGGAACACCGGUGGCGAAGGCGGGUCUCUGGCCCGGUACUGACGCUGAGGUGCGAAAGCGUGGGGAGCAAACGGG